rnacentral:tRNA from 1 species
UCCCUGGUGGCUCAGAGGUUAAAGCGUCUGCCUGCAAUGCUGGAGACCUGGGUUUGAUCCCUGGGUCGGGAA